UUAAAGUCGCCCAGAACUGUGAGAGGUGAGCCGUCCUCAGGAAAGGAGCUUAUCAAGGCAUCAAGCUCAUUGAUGAACUCUCCAAGGGAACCUGGAGGGCGAUAAAUGAUAAGGAUGUUAAGCUUGAAAGGGCUGGUAACUGUGACAGCAUGAAAUUCAAAGGAGGCGAUAGACAGAUGGGUAAGGGGAGAAAGAGAGAAAGACCACUUGGGAGAGAUGAGGAUCCCGGUGCCACCACCCCGCUGACCAGAAGCUCUCGGGUGUGUGAGAACACGUGGGCGGACGAGGAGAAAGCAGUAGGAGUAGCAGUGUUUUCUGUGGUGAUCCAUGUUUCCGUCAGUGCCAAGAAGUCGAGGGACUGGAGGGAGGCGUAGGCUGAGAUGAACUCUGCCUUGUUGGCCGCAGAUCGGCAGUUCCAGAGGCUACCGGAGACCUGGAACUCCACGUGGGUCGUACGCGCUGGGACCACCAGAUUAGGGUGGCCGCGGCCACGCGGUGUGGAGCGUUUGUAUGGUCUGUGCAGAGAGGAGAGAACAGGGAUAGACAGACACAUAGUUGACAGGCUACAGAAGAGGCUACGCUAAUGCAAGGAGAUUGGAAUGACAAGUGGACUACACGUCUCGAAUGUUCAGAAAGUUAAGCUUACGUAGCAAGAAUCUUAGUGACUAAAAUGAUUAAAAUGAUACAGUACUGCUGAAGUAGGCUAGCUGGCAGUAGCUGCGUUGUUGACACUACACUAAUCAAGUCGUUCCGUUGAGUGUAAUAGUUUCUACAGUGCUACUAAUCGGGGGCUAGCUGGCUAGCUAGCAGUGUUGUUUACGUUACGUUGCGUUAAAAGAACGACAAUAGCUGGCUAGCUAACCUAGAAAAUCGCUCUAGACUACACAAUUAUCUUUGAUACAAGGACGGCUAUGUAGCUAGCUAUGUAGCUAGCUACGAUCAAACAAAUCAAACCGUUGUACUGUAAUGAAAUGAAAUGAAGAUGUGAUACUAGCGUUUGCUAGCGUAUGCUAGCUGCUGGGCGAAUAGCAGUGAAGGCUACGUUAGGGCGACGAAAUACGAUAAUUAUGCAAUUAUCUCUGAUACAAGGAAGGCUAUGUAGCUAGCUAAGAAGAAAUUGCUAAGAUUAGACAAAUCAACCGUUGUACUAUAAUGGAAUGUAAUGAAAAAGUUAUACAACCUGCGGAGCGGGUGUGCGAUGCGACCGCUCGCUCCAACCCGGAAGUUUAGCAGUCUAUGGUCUAGAAUAGCCAUGUAGGGUACAUAUCCAGCAGUCUAUGGUCUAGAAUAGCCAUGUAGGGUACAUAUCCAGCAGUCUAUGGUCUAGAAUAGCCAUGUAGGGUACAUAUCCAGCAGUCUAUGGUCUACCUUGGCCAUGUAGAGUACAUAUCCAGCAGUCUAUAGUCUAGAAUAGCCAUGUAGGGUACAUAUCCAGCAGUCUAUGGUCUAGCUAGGCCAUGUAGGUUACAUAUCCAGCAGUCUAUAGUCUAGAAUAGCCAUGUAGGGUACAUAUCCAGCAGUCUAUGGUCUAGAAUAGCCAUGUAGGGUACAUAUCCAGCAGUCUAUGGUCUAGAAUAGCCAUGUAGGGUACAUAUCCAGCAGUCUAUAGUCUAGAAUAGCCAUGUAGGGUACAUAUCCAGCAGUCUAUAGUCUAGAAUAGCCAUGUAGGGUACAUAUCCAGCAGUCUAUGGUCUAGAAUAGCCAUGUAGGGUACAUAUCCAGCAGUCUAUAGUCUAGAAUAACCAUGUAGGGUACAUAUCCAGCAGUCUAUGGUCUAGCUUGGCCAUGUAGUGUACAUAUCCAGCAAUCUAUAGUCUAGAAUAGCCAUGUAGGGUACAUAUCCAGCAGUCUAUGGUCUAGAAUAGCCAUGUAGGGUACAUAUCCAGCAGUCUAUAGUCUAGAAUAACCAUGUAGGGUACAUAUCCAGCAGUCUAUGGUCUAGCUUGGCCAUGUAGUGUACAUAUCCAGCAGUCUAUAGUCUAGAAUAGCCAUGUAGGGUACAUAUCCAGCAGUCUAUGGUCUAGAAUAGCCAUGUAGGGAACAUAUCCAGCAGUCUAUAGUCUAGAAUAACCAUGUAGGGUACAUAUCCAGCAGUCUAUGGUCUAGCUUGGCCAUGUAGUGUACAUAUCCAGCAGUAUAUGGUCUAGAAUAGCCAUGUAGGGUACAUAUCCAGCAGUCUAUGGUCUAGAAUAGCCAUGUAUGGUACAUAUCCAGCGGUCUUUGCUCUAGAAUAGCCAUGUAGAGGACAUAUCCAGCAGUCUAUAGUCUAGAAUAACCAUGUAGGGUACAUAUACAGCAGUCUAUGGUCUAGCUUGGCCAUGUAGGGUACAUAUCCAGAGUAUGGUCUAGCUUGGCCAUUUAGAGUACAUAUCCAGCAGUCUAUGGUCUAGAAUAGCCAUGUAGGGUACAUAUACAGCAGUCUAUGGUCUAGCUUGGCCAUGUAGGGUACAUAUUCAGCAGUCUAUGGUCUAGAAUAAACAUGUAGAGUACAUAUCCAGCAGUCUAUAGUCUAGCUUGGCCAUGUAGGGUACAUAUUCAGCAGUCUAUGGUCUAGCUUGCCCAUGUAGGGUACAUAUCCAGCAGUCUAUGGUCUAGCCUGGCCAUGUAGAGUACAUAUCCAGCAGUCUAUAGUCUAGCUUGGCCAUGUAGGGUACAUAUCCAGCAGUCUAUGGUCUAGCUUGCCCAUGUAGGGUACAUAUCCAGCAGUCUAUGGUCUAGCCUGGCCAUGUAGAGUACAUAUCCAGCAGUCUAUAGUCUAGAAUAGCCAUGUAGGGUACAUAUCCAGCAGUCUAUAGUCUAGAAUAGCCAUGUAGGGUACAUAUCCAGCAGUCUAUGGUCUACAAUAGCCAUGUAGAGUACAUAUCCAGCAGUCUUUGCUCUAGAAUAGCCAUGUAGAGGACAUAUCCAGCAGUCUAUAGUCUAGAAUAACCAUGUAGGGUACAUAUACAGCAGUCUAUGGUCUAGCUUGGCCAUGUAGGGUACAUAUCCAGAGUAUGGUCUAGCUUGGCCAUUUAGAGUACAUAUCCAGCAGUCUAUGGUCUAGAAUAGCCAUGUAGGGUACAUAUACAGCAGUCUAUGGUCUAGCUUGGCCAUGUAGGGUACAUAUUCAGCAGUCUAUGGUCUAGAAUAAACAUGUAGAGUACAUAUCCAGCAGUCUAUAGUCUAGCUUGGCCAUGUAGGGUACAUAUUCAGCAGUCUAUGGUCUAGCUUGCCCAUGUAGGGUACAUAUCCAGCAGUCUAUGGUCUAGCCUGGCCAUGUAGAGUACAUAUCCAGCAGUCUAUAGUCUAGCUUGGCCAUGUAGGGUACAUAUCCAGCAGUCUAUGGUCUAGCUUGGCCAUAUAGGGUUCAUAUCCAGCAGUCUAUGGUCUAGCUAGGCCAUGUAGAGUACAUAUCCAGCAGUCUAUAGUCUAGAAUAGCCAUGUAGGGUACAUAUCCAGCAGUCUAUAGUCUAGAAUAGCCAUGUAGGGUACAUAUCCAGCUGUCUAUGGUCUAGAAUAGCCAUGUAGAGUACAUAUCCAGCAGUCUAUGGUCUAGCUUGGCCAUGUAGGGUACAUAUCCAGAGUCUAUAGUCUAGAAUAGCCAUGUAGGGUACAUAUCCAGCAGUCUAUGGUCUAGAAUAGCCAUGUAGGGUACAUAUCCAGCAGUCUAUAGUCUAGAAUAGCCAUGUAGGAUACAUAUCCAGACUAUGGUCAAGCUUGGCCAUUUAGAGUACAUAUCCAGCAGUCUAUGGUCUAGAAUAGCAAUGUAGGGUACAUAUCCAGCAGUCUAUGGUCUAGAAUAUCCAUGUAGGGUACAUAUCCAGCAGUCUAUGGUCUAGAAUAGCCAUGUAGGGUACAUAUCCAGCAGUCUAUAGUCUAGAAUAGCCAUGUAGGGUACAUAUCCAGCAGUCUAUGGUCUAGAAUAGCCAUGUAGGGUAUAUAUCCAGCGGUCUAUGGUCUAGCUUGGCCAUGUAGGGUACAUAUACAGCAGUAUAUGGUCUAGCUUGGCCAUGUAGGGUACAUAUCCAGCAGUCUAUGGUCUAGAAUAACCAUGUAGGGCACAUAUCCAGCUGUCUAUGGUGUAGCUUGGCAAUGUAGAAUACAUAUCCAGCAGUCUAUAGUCUAGAAUAGCCAUGUAGGGUACAUAUCCAGCAGUCUAUAGUCUAGAAUAGCCAUGUAGGGUACAUAUCCAGCAGUCUAUAGUCUAGAAUAGCCAUGUAGGGUACAUAUCCAGCAGUCUAUAGUCUAGAAUAGCCAUGUAGAGUACAUAUCCAGCAGUCUAUAGUCUAGAAUAGCCAUGUAUGGUACAUAUCCAGCGGUCUUUGGUCUAGAAUAGCCAUGUAGGGUACAUAUCCAGCAGUCUAUGGUCUAGCUUGGCCAUGUAGAGUACAUAUCCAGCAGUCUAUGGUCUAGAAUAGCCAUGUAGAGUACAUAUCCAGCAGUCUAUGGUCUAGAAUAGCCAUGUAGGGAACAUAUCCAGCAGUCUGUGGUCGAGCUUGGCCAUGUAGAGUACAUAUCCAGCAGUCUAUGGUCUAGAAUAGCCAUGUAGGGUACAUAUCCAGCAGUCUAUGGUCUAGCUUGGCCAUGUAGAGUACAUAUCCAGCAGUCUAUGGUCUAGAAUAGCCAUGUAGAGUACAUAUCCAGCAGUCUAUGGUCUAGAAUAGCCAUGUAGGGUACAUAUCCAGCAGUCUAUAGUCUAGAAAAGCCAGGUAGGGUACAUAUCCAGCAGUCUAUGGUCUAGAAUAGCCAUGUAUGGUACAUAUCCAGCAGUCUAUGGUCUAGAAUAGCCAUGUAGGGUACAUAUCCAGCAGUCUAUGGUCUAGAAUAGCCAUGUAGAGUACAUAUCCAGCAGUCUAUAGUCUAGAAUAGCCAUGUAGGGUACAUAUCCAGCAGUCUAUGGUCUAGAAUAGCCAUGUAGGGUACAUAUCCAGCAGUCUAUGGUCUAGAAUAGCCAUGUAGGGUACAUAUCCAGCAGUCUAUGGUCUAGAAUAGCCAUGUAGGGUACAUAUCCAGCAGUCUAUGGUCUAGAAUAGCCAUGUAGGGAACAUAUCCAGCAGUCUGUGGUCGAGCUUGGCCAUGUAGGGUACAUAUCCAGAGUCUAUGGUCUAGAAUAGCCAUGUAGGGUACAUAUCCAGCAGUCUAUGGUCUAGCCUGGCCAUGUAGAGUACAUAUCCAGCAGUCUAUAGUCUAGAAUAGCCAUGUAGGGUACAUAUCCAGCAGUCUAUAGUCUAGAAUAGCCAUGUAGGAUACAUAUCCAGACUAUGGUCAAGCUUGGCCAUUUAGAGUACAUAUCCAGCAGUCUAUGGUAUAGAAUAGCAAUGUAGGGUACAUAUCCAGCAGUCUAUGGUCUAGCUUGGCCAUGUAGAAUACAUAUCCAGCAGUCUAUGGUCUAUAAUAGCCAUGUAGGGUACAUAUCCAGCAGUCUAUGGUCUAGAAUAGCAAUGUAGGGUACAUAUCCAGCAGUCUAUGGUCUAGCCUGGCCAUGUAGAGUACAUAUCCAGCAGUCUAUAGUCUAGAAUAGCCAUGUAGGGUACAUAUCCAGCAGUCUAUAGUCUAGAAUAGCCAUGUAGGGUACAUAUCCAGACUAUCGUCAAGCUUGGCCAUUUAGAGUACAUAUCCAGCAGUCUAUGGUCUAGAAUAGCAAUGUAGGGUACAUAUCCAGCAGUCUAUGGUCUAGAAUAGCCAUGUAGGGUACAUAUCCAGCAGUCUAUGGUCUAGCUUGGCCAUGUAGGGUACAUAUACAGCAGUAUAUGGUCUAGCUUGGCCAUGUAGGGUACAUAUCCAGCAGUCUAUGGUCUAGAAUAACCAUGUAGGGUACAUAUCCAGCAGUAUAUGGUCUAGAAUAGCCAUGUAGGGUACAUAUCCAGCAGUCUAUAGUCUAGAAUAGCCAUGUAGGGUACAUAUCCAGCAGUCUAUGGUCUAGCUUGGCCAUGUAGAGUACAUAUCCAGCAGUCUAUGGUCUAGAAUAACCAUGUAGAGUACAUAUCCAGCAGUCUAUGGUCUAGAAUAGCCAUGUAGGGUACAUAUCCAGCAGUCUAUAGUCUAGAAAAGCCAGGUAGGGUACAUAUCCAGCAGUCUAUGGUCUAGAAUAGCCAUGUAUGGUACAUAUCCAGCAGUAUAUGGUCUAGAAUAGCCAUGUAGGGUACAUAUCCAGCAGUCUAUGGUCUAGAAUAGCCAUGUAGAGUACAUAUCCAGCAGUCUAUAGUCUAGAAUAGCCAUGUAGGGUACAUAUCCAGCAGUCUAUGGUCUAGAAUAGCCAUGUAGGGUACAUAUCCAGCAGUCUAUGGUCUAGAAUAGCCAUGUAGGGUACAUAUCCAGCAGUCUAUGGUCUAGAAUAGCCAUGUAGGGUACAUAUCCAGCAGUCUAUGGUCUAGAAUAGCCAUGUAGGGAACAUAUCCAGCAGUCUGUGGUCGAGCUUGGCCAUGUAGGGUACAUAUCCAGAGUCUAUGGUCUAGAAUAGCCAUGUAGGGUACAUAUCCAGCAGUCUACGGUCUAGCCUGGCCAUGUAGAGUACAUAUCCAGCAGUCUAUAGUCUAGAAUAGCCAUGUAGGGUACAUAUCCAGCAGUCUAUGGUCUAGAAUAGCCAUGUAGGGUACAUAUCCAGACUAUGGUCAAGCUUGGCCAUUUAGAGUACAUAUCCAGCAGUCUAUGGUCUAGAAUAGCAAUGUAGGGUACAUAUCCAGCAGUCUAUGGUCUAGAAAAGCCAGGUAGGGUACAUAUCCAGCAGUCUAUGGUCUAGAAUAGCCAUGUAUGGUACAUAUCCAGCAGUCGAUGGUCUAGAAUAGCCAUGUAGGGUACAUAUCCAGCAGUAUAUGGUCUAGAAUAGCCAUGUAGGGUACAUAUCCAGCAGUAUAUGGUCUAGAAUAGCCAUGUAGGGUACAUAUCCAGCAGUCUAUGGUCUAGAAUAGCCAUGUAGGGUACAUAUCCAGCAGUCUAUAGUCUAGAAAAGCCAGGUAGGGUACAUAUCCAGCAGUCUAUGGUCUAGAAUAGCCAUGUAUGGUACAUAUCCAGCAGUCGAUGGUCUAGAAUAGCCAUGUAGGGUACAUAUCCAGCAGUCUAUGGUCUAGAAUAGCCAUGUAGAGUACAUAUCCAGCAGUCUAUGGUCUAGAAUAGCCAUGUAGGGUACAUAUCCAGCAGUCUAUGUCUAGAAAAGCCAGGUAGGGUACAUAUCCAGCAGUCUAUGGUCUAGAAUAGCCAUGUAUGGUACAUAUCCAGCAGUCGAUGGUCUAGAAUAGCCAUGUAGGGUACAUAUCCAGCAGUCUAUGGUCUAGAAUAGCCAUGUAGAGUACAUAUCCAGCAGUCUAUAGUCUAGAAUAGCCAUGUAGGGUACAUAUCCAGCAGUCUAUGGUCUAGAAUAGCCAUGUAGGGUACAUAUCCAGCAGUCUAUGGUCUAGAAUAGCCAUGUAGGGUACAUAUCCAGCAGUCUAUGGUCUAGAAUAGCCAUGUAGAGUACAUAUCCAGCGGUCUUUGGUCUAGAAUAGCCAUGUAGGGUAUAUAUCCAGCAGUCUAUGGUCUAGAAUAGCCAUGUAUGGUACAUAUCCAGCAGUCUAUGGUCUAGAAUAGCCAUGUAGGGUACAUAUCCAGCGGUCUUUGGUCUAGAAUAGCCAUGUAGAGUACAUAUCCAGCAGUCUAUAGUCUAGAAUAACCAUGUAGGGUACAUAUCCAGCAGUCUAUGGUCUAGCUUGGCCAUGUAGUGUACAUAUCCAGCAAUCUAUAGUCUAGAAUAGCCAUGUAGGGUACAUAUCCAGAGUAUGGUCUAGCUUGGCCAUGUAGUGUACAUAUCCAGCAGUCUAUAGUCUAGAAUAGCCAUGUAGAGUACAUAUCCAGCAGUCUAUGGUCUAGCUUGGCCAUGUAGAGUACAUAUCCAGCAGUCUAUGGUCUAUAAUAGCCAUGUAGGGUACAUAUCCAGCAGUCUAUAGUCUAGAAUAGUCAUGUAGGAUACAUAUCCAGCAGUCUAUGGUCUAGCUUGGCCAUGUAGAGUACAUAUCCAGCAGUCUACGGUCUAGAAUAGCCAUGUAGGGUACAUAUCCAGCAGUAUAUGGUCUAGAAUAGCCAUGUAGGGUACAUAUCCAGAGGCUAUGGUCUAGAAUAGCCAUGUAGGAUACAUAUCCAGCAGUCUAUGAUCUAGCUUGGCCAUGUAGGGUACAUAUCCAGCAGUCUAUGGUCUAGCCUGGCCAAGUAGAGUACAUAUCCAGAAGUCUAUGGUCGUGAAUAGCCAUAUAGGGUACAUAUCCAGCAGUCUAUGGUCUAGCUUGGCCAUGUAGGGUACAUAUCCAGCAGUCUAUGGUCUAGCCUGGCCAUGUAGAGUACAUAUCCAGCAGUCUAUAGUCUAGAAUAGCCAUGUAGGGUACAUAUCCAGCAGUCUAUGGUCUAGAAUAGCCAUGUAGGGUACAUAUCCAGCAGUCUAUGGUCUAGCUUGGCCAUGUAGUGUACAUAUCCUGCAGUCUAUGGUCUAGCUUGGCCAUGUAGGGUACAUAUCCAGCAGUCUAUGGUCUAGCUUGGCCAUGUAGAGUACAUAUCCAGCAGUCUAUAGUCUAGAAUAGCCAUGUAGGGUACAUAUCCAGCACAGUCUAUAGUCUAGAAUAGCCAUGUAGGGUACAUAUCCAGCAGUCUAUGGUCUAGAAUAGCCAUGUAGAGUACAUAUCCAGCAGUCUAUGGUCUAGCUUGGCCAUGUAGGGUACAUAUCCAGCAGUCUAUGGUCUAGCUUGGCCAUGUAGGGUACAUAUCCAGCAGUCUAUGGUCUAGCUUGGCCAUGUAGUGUACAUAUCCAGCUGUCUAUGGUCUAGCUUGGCCAUGUAGGGUACAUAUCCAGCAGUCUAUGGUCUAGCUUGGCCAUGUAGGGUACAUAUCCAGCAGUCUAUGGUCUAGAAUAGCCAUGAAGAGUACAUAUCCAGCAGUCUAUGGUCUAGAAUAGCCAUGUAGGGUACAUAUCCAGCAGUCUAUGGUCUAUAAUAGCCAUGUAGGGUACAUAUCCAGCAGUCUAUGGUCUAGAAUAGCCAUGAAGAGUACAUAUCCAGCAGUCUAUGGUCUAGAAUAGCCAUGUCGUGUACAUAUCCAGCAGUCUAUGGUCUAGCUUGGCCAUGUAGAGUACAUAUCCAGCAGUAUAUAGUCUAGAAUAGCCAUGUAUGGUACAUAUCCAGCAGUCUAUGGUCUAGAAUAGCCAUGUAGGGUACAUAUCCAGCAGUCUAUGGUCUAGAAUAGCCAUGUAGGGUACAUAUCCAGCAGUCUAUGGUCUAGAAUAGCCAUGUAGGGUACAUAUCCAGCAGUCUAUGGUCUAGAAUAGCCAUGUAGGGUACAUAUCCAGCAGUCUAUGGUCUAGCUUGGCCAUGUAGGGUACAUAUCCAGCAGUCUAUGGUCUAGCUUGGCCAUGUAGGGUACAUAUCCAGCAGUCUAUGGUCUAGCUUACAUUUACAUUUACAUUUAAGUCAUU